GGCGAGUGAAGCGGCAAAAGCUCAAAUUUGAAAUCUGGUACCUUCGGUGCCCGAGUUGUAAUUUGGAGAGGGCAACUUUGGGGCCGUUCCUUGUCUAUGUUCCUUGGAACAGGACGUCAUAGAGGGUGAGAAUCCCGUGUGGCGAGGAGUGCGGUUCUUUGUAAAGUGCCUUCGAAGAGUCGAGUUGUUUGGGAAUGCAGCUCUAAGUGGGUGGUAAAUUCCAUCUAAAGCUAAAUAUUGGCGAGAGACCGAUAGCGAACAAGUACAGUGAUGGAAAGAUGAAAAGAACUUUGAAAAGAGAGUGAAAAAGUACGUGAAAUUGUUGAAAGGGAAGGGCAUUUGAUCAGACAUGGUGUUUUGUGCCCUCUGCUCCUUGUGGGUAGGGGAAUCUCGCAUUUCACUGGGCCAGCAUCAGUUUUGGUGGCAGGAUAAAUCCAUAGGAAUGUAGCUUGCCUCGGUAAGUAUUAUAGCCUGUGGGAAUACUGCCAGCUGGGACUGAGGACUGCGACGUAAGUCAAGGAUGCUGGCAUAAUGGUUAUAUGCCGCCCGUCUUGAAACACGGAC
rnacentral:rRNA from 1 species